rnacentral:rRNA from 1 species
GAUGAACGCUAGCUACAGGCUUAACACAUGCAAGUCGAGGGACCGGCGCACGUGUGCGUAACACGUAUCCCACCUGCCCUUUACUCGGGGAUAGCCUUUCGACAGAAAGAUUAAUACCCGAUAUAAAGGAUGGGGAUGCGUUCCUUUAGGUUGUUGGUGAGGUAACGGUUCACCAAGCCUUCGAUGUCGAGGGGUUCUGAGAGGAAGGUCCCCCACAUUGGAACUGAGACACGGUCCAAAGUCCUACGGGAGGCAGCAGUGAGGAAUAUUGGUCAAUGGGCGGUAGCCUGAACCAGCCAAGUAGCGUGAAGGAUGAAGGCUUAUGGGUCGUAAACUUCUUUUAUAUAAGAAUAUGUAUUAUAUGAAUAAGGAUCGGCUAACUCCGUGCCAGCAGCCGCGGUAAUUC